rnacentral:miRNA from 36 species
UGAAGCUGCCAGCAUGAUCUA